rnacentral:rRNA from 1 species
AGGUGGUGCAUGGUUGUCGUCAGCUCGUGUCGUGAGAUGUUGGGUUAAGUCCCGCAACGAGCGCAACCCUCGUUCUAUGUUGCCAGCACGUAAUGGUGGGAACUCAUGGGAUACUGCCGGGGUCAACUCGGAGGAAGGUGGGGAUGACGUCAAAUCAUCAUGCCCCUUAUGUCUUGGGCUUCACGCAUGCUACAAUGGCCGGUACAAAGGGCUGCAAUACCGUAAGGUGGAGCGAAUCCCAAAAAGCCGGUCCCAGUUCGGAUUGAGGUCUGCAACUCGACCUCAUGAAGUCGGAGUCGCUAGUAAUCGCAGAUC